UCACAAGAAACGUGGCACCAUCCGCCUGGGAAAACAGGGAAUUGUGCAAAAGACCCAGAAAAAACGAGAAGGAAAACGAGAUCUAAAAUAAGCCUAGAUUUCCAGGAUGGGUCGAUUGAGAGGAAGAAUAUUAUUGAGCGGGAAAACGAGAGGAUUGUAAGAAAGUCCUAUCUGGAGAACGCAGAGCAGAAGAGAGUGAAGAUUCAAAGCCGGGAAAGGGAUGGAUCCUUCUUUCUUGGCCCUUGAACCCAACACAAAAUUUCACUUUGGGGCGUGCUCAGGCAGAAAUGCCUCCAAACCCAUGAAACAACAUCAAAAUACCCCUAAACAAAGCCUUCCAACGCAUCCCAGACCUUGCAAUCUCCAAUUUCCCUGCAGAUUACCUUGCAAUCUCCAAUUUCCCUGCAGAUUACCUUGCAAUCUCCAAUUUCCCUGCAGAUUGCCUUGCAAUCUCUAUUUUCCUCUGCACUUUCCCAAAAUGGCACUGGUUGCCACUGGGCGAAAUGACUCUCGUCCAAUUUCAUUCCCACUUGCAAUGCACUUGGAUUUCCCAUGCAAGAGUAUACCUUCCAGGUUCUAGACUGACACUGACCCGGGUUCUAGCUUAACCUUCGAGAAUGGCUCUCAAUGUAAAGACACAACGGUGGAGGCAGCAAAGCAAGAAUCCAAUGGAGGCAAUUUGAUAGGAGCAGAUUAAAAAGUACAACGGAAAAAGCCAAUAUCUCCCACCCCAAAAAAAUAUGUAUGUGUGCAUGAACGUGGUUCAAAUUCAUUAUUAUGGCACACUACCGAUUUCUUUAAAAGAUCACUGGGUGGCAUUUUGAUCACGGCCACAAAUGGACGGAUCUGCAAGAGGCAGGCGUCAACAGGACGGGCUGCAUCUAAACCCAGGGCUGCAGAUAUUUAAGUGGCAUUCAUGAGGAUGGAGACUGCCAGGGCACAUGGAAAAGGAGAAGGAAAAUGCUAUGUUGCAUUGGCUUAGCAUCCCACAACCCCUUUGAGCAUCCAAAUGAGACCUGUUCAGGGCGGACAGGGGGGUGGAGAUAAACAAGAGAGGGGAU
rnacentral:lncRNA from 1 species